rnacentral:RNase_P_RNA from 1 species
GCAGCCGGGCAUUUCGUCGCGCGUCGACUUAGUGAGCGAUGUGAGGAAAGUCCGGUCAACAUAGAGCACCAUAUUUCCUAACGGGAAGCUAUCGGCAACGGUAGGUAAGCAUGACAGAAAACAACCGCCGCACUCGUUUUUGAAAAAGAGCAGGGCGGUAAGGGUGAAAAGGUGAGGUAAGAGCUCACCGGGCGCCACAGUGAUAUGGCGUGCCGCAUGCACUAUGGGUUGCAAGGCCAAGUAUACCGGCAUUUAAGGGCUGCUCGUCCAUUGCCGGGGGGUAGGCUGCUAAAGCCGUGUGGCGACAUACGGUGUAGAUAAAUGACGAAACGCCACCUGUCACUUCGGGUGGCCGACAUAACCCGGCUUAUCGUCCGGCUGCACUU